rnacentral:lncRNA from 1 species
CCGCUAGAAAACUAAAAAGAACCUUUGUACUUUGCUUUAAUCAUUUAAGGCUUUUUACCCUUUCAUCCAAUGUCCAGAUUUGCAGCCUUCUAGUCUCAAGAUAUUCAAAUUAUACGGUAGAUGAGGCAGGUUGGGGUACAAAUUUUUGUUUGGCUUUUAUGGAAGCAUUACCAAUUAUACUUUCCUGGUAAUACAAGAAAACAGUGAACAAGAUGGUUCCACCGAACAACCGAAUGAAAAAUGUCCUAUGCUUCAAUUCCUUUUCAUCUAAUUGUAUUAUAAUCGAUUAAUUUUUCUGUGCUUUAACCGGCAUGGAUUAGGAAACUUGUAUUGGUUCUCUUUUUUUAUCAUGUGAUGAUUUUAUGAAUUAAAUCCAAUAUGUAACAUCAUUAUUGAUGUACAUAGUCUUACCCCUACAGGCAAAAUGAAUGUUUUCGCAACUCGAACCCUGGUAAUUUUUAUCACAAACCUUAUAAGGUUUUAACCAUGGUAACAACUGUUCACAUGCAGAGGUGAUGAUACCUACAUUAGUCCACCUGAGAGCUGCAUUGGUGGGAGCCUUAUGCACUAGUCUGCAAUUUUUCAGAUUAACGUGUCUUAGUGUUGAAUGAAUUGACAAUGUUUGCUCUUAGUGACUAGGGCAUAUACUUUCAAAUUUUGCUUACUGAUAGGAACCCUUUACAACAGUACCAUUUGUUACAUUCCAUAGUCCAGACUUGGCCUCUUGGAUUUGUCACAUAAAUCGCCUACUUUUUUCUCAUGUAGAAGAUUGAUUGGCUUGACUCUGUCCUUAAGAAAAGGAUUGUAGUGUUGUUUCCUGAGUGCAGCAUUCCUAUCUCUCUUGCUGAUUUUACUAACAGCAGACACUAAUGUAUAUUUGUCAUAAUACAUAUAAUUUUUAGGGGUAAGUCUGCCUCGUCUACUGGGCCACCCUUGUUUUAACUGAAUCGUCCUUGAUAUCUGUGGAUAAUUAGACUGAAUAACUCCAUAAACUAAACUGUUCAGAUCUGAUUACUUUAUUCUCCUUCGAGACCAAAGGCUCCACAAGUUCACAUCAUCUACACAAACAAACAUAUUCUAUCCCUAAAUCUUAAUAAUGAGAAUUUAGUUGUGUCCUGAUUAGUUAGUUUUUCAAAAUGUGGUUCAGCACUCAGGUCCACUGGAGAAAACCUUUAAAUGAUUCUAAGAGUCCUAUCACAACGGCAACCUGUUUAUCCAUUUAAAAACGCAAGUAGUAUGUUUCUUUUCAUGAUUUUGAUGCUUUAUAUGCAAUGUGAUAUGGAUACAUCUGAGUUCCGUCAUUUAAAAUAUUUUCUUCAAGUUAGGUUUGUUCUUUUGGUCACCAUAUCCUUUGAUUUCUCGCCAUCCAUCAUAUGUUUUCUCAUUUUCUUUCUUUGGCUUUUCUUCUUUUUUGAUUGUUUUGAUCUGUUUGUUGCUCGGGAUCUUGAAAAGGUUUUAUCAUAAUUGUUGUCUCCAUAAAUUCUGACUUUAUAAGGGUUGGACCUCAAUAAAAGUGGAAAAGAACAUGGACCAAUAGGUGAAACUUGCUAUAACAUGGAGCUGAUUGGUCAGCAUUUUCAUGGUAUUUAUGCAUAUAUCUAUGAUGGUGAUAUCAACUUGCUAACCGUGCAUGUCAGAUUAACCUCCACAGCCAAUCUGGAUGACAUCAUAGCCAACUGAACAUACCUCUGGUGAAUGCAACCGUAAAAUUGAAUCUUAUAUUUCAAAAUUCAUUUCUGAUGCUAAAAUAUUCUUGAUUAAGAAAAAAUAAAAUCUAUAACUUAAUUUAAUGAAGUGCACAUAUGUAAUUCAUGCCACGAAGUAAAACCAAUUUAUGCUAAAUAUUUGCUAUACCAUAAAACUAAAUUAUACUGAGUGAUCUAUAAGCCAGACAUAUUACAGUUAGACAACAGAAUAAUGAAGCAAAACAAAUUAGGGUAAGUAUGUCGUUGCUCAAAGUAAAUAAGAGAAUUAUUCUUUUGACAGUCAACAUUUAUGGUAUUUCCAGUUAUGAUUGUCCUGCAUUAGGAUGCUGUCCUACAUAAUCAAUUUAGUUUAUAUUUGUUGCCUAGUUGCAUUUCACAUAUUUAUACUUAUUGUAUUUAAUUUAUACAUGUUUGUUUCUUCGAGCUAGCAGAGUAGAUGGGAAGGCUGCUUCGGUGGAAUGUUUUCCUGGUUUGGAUCUCAGAAAAGGAAGAAACGAAUUGUUCCAGCAUCCCGUACUCCAGAUGGGAAUGCAUCAACUACUCGUGCCAAUGGGCUUCAAGCUGCUGGAAUUUCUAAUGAAAAUACAACAGUGAACUUAUCAGUUCUUGCCCCUCCUUCAUCUCCGGCAUCUUUUAUAAACUCUGCACUUCCCUCGACAGCCCAAUCACCCAAUUGUUUCUUGUCAAUAUCAGCCAAUUCUCCUGGAGGACCGUCAUCGGCCAUGUUUGCACCUGGACCGUAUGCUCAUGAAACUCAGCUGGUCUCACCUCCUGUUUUCUCUACUUUUACAACUGAGCCAUCAACUGCUCCACUAACCCCUCCACCCGAGCUUGCUCACCUUACAACUCCCUCGUCACCAGACGUGCCUUUUGCAAGGUUUCUGUCAUCAUCUCUGGAUAUUAGAAGUUCUGGGAAAGAGAAUGGACUGCCUUAUUCGCCAUCCAGCUAUGGGGUUGGUAGCGAUCUCCAGGUCACUUAUCCACUUUAUCCUGGAAGUCCUUCGAGCAGCCUUAUAUCACCAGCCUCAGGAACUCCAAGAACCGGGCUAUCUUCACCUUUUCCUGAACGGGAUAUUCCCAUGCAGUGGGAUGCUUCUGCAUCUGCACGUGACUCUCCCUGUUUCAGGAAUGGGUCAUCCAAGCUGUUUGGACUUGAUUCAGCUACAACCAGAAAUUUCAUAUUGUGUCCUGAUUCCAGCUUCUUUUAUCCUGCAACAUCUGCACAGUUUCAUUUGGACCAGGCACAGCAAUCAUUUCCCCAUGCUGGAGGGAGGCUUAGUAUUUCCAGGGAAGCUGAUGGAUACUCCAUUGGCGGCAACAGACAUAACAAAACAUGCAAACAAGAUGUGGAAGAGAUUGAAGCCUAUAGAGCAUCAUUUGGAUUCAGUGCAGAUGAAAUCAUCACAACGCAGAACCAUGUGGAGCUACCUGAUCCACUUGAUGAGUCCUUCACCAUGUCUCCAUUUGCAAAUAAUAAAACUGGAAAGGAGCAGUGCCCCAUUACUGAGUUAGAUGAUAAAGGUAAAAAGCUACCCAAUUUGCUGGAUACUAUGGGCCCGAAGCAACCAACUUCUGAUUGCAAGUCUAACCAGAACAAUAUACAUGCAGGUAAUGACAAUUUCAUUGGAGUCGAUAUUCUAGUGCAUUUAUAUCAAACCAUCAUGCUAGGCUUUCCUAAUAGCUGCUGUUGUCAAGACCAUCUCGACAUCAGAUGUGUUCAGAAUCACACAUCUUCUGCAUCAUUUUCUUUUGAGUUCCUGUUCUAAAUGUCAUGAGCGCUGCUCAUCUUUUAUGCUGUCCAGCUCCAAAACACAACUGUUGGUCUGCAGAUUACCCUCCGUUACUUAAUGUUGGGGCAGAGAAGGUCGACUCGAGGACCUCAGACGACCAGGUUCGCAAGCGAGCUCAUCCGGGCCAAUCAUUCUCAGAUGCAGAAAUUGAUUACCGAAGGGCGAGAAGUUUGAGAGAAGCUAAUACACUGCUGGCCUGGCGGAAUUAGCUGCAAUAACUCAACUACUGAAGUGGUCAUCUCUUCUAGUUAGGAAGAUGAUCAAAACUUCUAAGCUAUGAAAUGUUGGGCUAGCAAGUGUUGAUGUAUAUUUUGCUACUGACUACUACUUCCUGAAAGUGCAGGAAGAUGGUGAUGGAUGAAUUCUAUUUCUGAUUCCAUUACUGUAGCCAAAUCUUCUUCUGUGAGGAAGACAUUAGCCGAGUCUCUAAAUGUUGUAUAGAACUACUGCCAUCUUGUGUGCUAUGUAUGUACCUUAUGAUGUGUUAGCUGUAAAAUUUGCUGCUCAUAAUGAUAAUGUAGCCGUUUUUCCCGUGUAAGAUAAUUACUCAAGUAGCUUGAAUUUUUUGGACAAUUUAUGCACAAAAAAAAAAUCUCUGGUGAGGAUGACAAAUAUGUGUUUGAUAUUUCAGGUUUAUUAUAUGGUUUUGUGUCAAACUCGAUCUAAUCUAUAUCUUAUUUGAUCUUAUUUUUCUUCUUUAUUCUUUCAGCCUCUCCUCCGUCUCUCCCUCCAGAGGAAAGUAGCACUAACAGCGUUUUCAAGCAUAUUUAAGUAAAAGUAGCUGAUUUAAUGGAAAAUUAUCCAACAAGGAAAUAGCCAUCGUUUCUUCUUCUCGUCAAGGAAGGCAAAACAAAAAGCUGAGAUGAAUCUAACACAGACCAACAUUACUUCCCUCAAUAAAUCCAAAAGACAGAUGAUAUAAGUAAACAUGAUAGCGGCUCCUACAUAAGAGGGAAAAAAAGAAACUACUCGAAUAGCAGCAGGAAUUUGCCAACAUCCUCGAUCUGCAGUUGUUACUUGAGAGGGAUGAACCUGGAGGAGUGCGUGGCACCGAUACCAGGCCUUCCAUGCUUCACAGGCUUAUAUGAGAUAGAGAACUCCGCCAAGUAAUGACCGAUCAUCUCAGGCUGUAGUCACAAAGACAAUGGAACGGAAUGGAAUUAGCAAUUAUCCGAAACCAUAUCCCAUCAUCAGUUCCACUAUACCUAUGUUGGUAUGUACAUGUAACAAGCUCGGCUCAACCAUUUUAAAGGUCAUUUAUAGUUCAAGGCAUAAAAUUGGCCUAUUUUAGCAGCUUCAAUUGGACAUUUAUUACUGUAAUAAACCAUAUUAAGAAGCUUCACGAUACAGUUACCCUUGCCAUGGUAAAGAUUACAUUCAAAAGAUUAAGUGAAAGCAGAGAAAUGAAUAUACGAAACGAUCCAUAAAUUUGUUAUUAUAUUUUUAAGAACCAAGUCUAUGUGAAAUAACAUGCCAAUCUACCUGCUUCAAUUGGCUGUUAAAAAGAAAACAUGAUAAACCUAGCACGAUCCCAGCUGGAAAAGGAAAAGUUAAGAUGUAAAAAUUACCUUGAUUUCAACCUGGUUAAAAGUUUUUCCGUUAUAAACACCGAUGAUGCUUCCAAUCAUCUCGGGGACUAUUAUCAUAUUCCUAAGGUGGGUCCUCACAGGUUCAGGCUUUUCACCAGGCGGGGCAUCACGCUUCUGCAAGUUUUCAAAAUCAUAACAAAUAAGAGAACAUGUAUUAGCUAAGAAACAGAUGAUACAAGAUACAAGUAAAAUGAAAACAUGCAAAAAAGGAAGGAUUAACAAUAAAAUUUCCUAUUUGCAUAAGUUAGCAAAAAUGAAUGACGGACUAGGUCAAUUUGGUUAGCACAAGAAACAGAAAGCGGCAGGGAACCUCAUACAGAACAUUUCAUGGUGAGUAGCAUACGAUUAUUUGCGACUUCAAGAUUCGUUGUAUCCAUGAACCAGUUUCUUAAUCAGUGCUUUGUAGGUCUACAGCUUACAGGGGAAGAAUUGAAUAAUAUACAUCAAAACUUAUUAGUCUAAGCAUGGGCAAAUUCAUAUGUAGCUUCACAUAUCUGUAUCAAACACUCUUCUCAGAAAUUUCAGAAUAUGGAUUACGAUACAGAUUAAGCAUCAUUCAUAUCCAAAUAAUCAGAUAAACUCCAAGUAUUGGAGAAGCAUUUAGUAUAAGUAUUAGGCCUCAUCACAUUGUGUGGACCUGAGCAACUUGGGUAUGCAUAUGUCUAAACGCAAAAAUUUAUAGGUGAUAGGGGAUUGUGACACAUGGAUGGCUGCCCACACCUCAUUGCCACUUGGCCAAUAAAUCACUAUUACAUGGCCGACAUGUCAAGAUCACUUGGCUAACACCUCCAAUCCUAUUCAGCCAACGUGUCACGUGGGAUCAAAGUCCACACGACUGACAGCAUUGCAUCUAUGGGAGCCGACUCAACAAGUUGUUACUUCACAAGUCAUUACUUUGCAAUUCCCGAGUUCGACACACGACUACACGACCUCACUUAUGGCAAAUGAUGAACGUAAUCGUACCUGGCAUUUAACCACGACCUCCAAUUUAACGAUCUCAUAAUGCAUUUUAAAAAGGUCUCAUGUACACUUUCAAUCAUCUAACUCACCCAAAUACAAUUAGACUCACAUAGAUUCGACACUUGACCGAAUCCUACGAAUGGGAACCGAGAUAAACAUCAAAGGGCCCUUGUCAAGCACGACUUUGACAUAGUUUUGCAGGGCCUUCGCUCGGACUCUUCCCUCGCCCGACACCACUUCGUCCUGAGACAAACGCAAAAAAGACCUCGAUCGACUCUGAAUCAGCACUACAUAAGACAACCAGAAUCUAAUUUAACAAUAGGUAUAUCUAAUGCACAUAUCCAUCUUCUUAGGCUACCAUCAAAACCACAUUAAAACACUUUUCUCUAAUUCGAUCCUCGAUCAAGAAUUCACUAUAUCAUAUUUAUUAUUCUAUCUUCUCUAGAAACUCGAACUCAAUCAAGAAUUCACUAUAUUUGUGUGCUAUUAUCUGCUAACAUUUUAAUAUGUCUAUGAAGUCCAUCAAGUCUAACAGAUGUUUCAUAAAAUGAAUCAUCAAAAGAGUUCACUAUGCCCAGCAAUCGUAAGUCACCAAGGUUGCCCCACAAAAUGAAAAUAGCAUUAUCUUUUUCAACUUCCCUUUCUACUGAACAAUAGAUCUAAUAUAUCAAAACAUUAACUUUCAGGGAUUUGUUGCCCAUCAAAAUUGUGUAUCCUAUAAUAUCUUUAUCUACUUAAUCGUUCAUGAAAACAAAUGGAUAUAAAUACUAUUUUUUUAAUCCAAUCCAUGCCAUUCAGUUGCAUCAACAACGCCUGCAGCCAAACCCCCAAAAGCCAUGAGUGAGAAACCUUCGUGGUUCUUUUAGCUACAUGGCAUAAGAUGAAUCUAUCCAACGAAUCACUCAUAAUCCUUCCCAGUCCCACCAAUCCUCCUAUUAGUUCAAUAUUGCAGAGAACUUCUUGCAUAAAAUCUACAAAAAUACUUCCAGAAACAAAACAACAGUGACCAAAUGUGUUCUUCCUCUCCUUUUAUGUUCCAAACACAAAAGAAAAAAAAAAAGGAACGGAUAACAACAAGAAGUUAGCUACUCGUCAAUUCAACGUUAUUGUUGUGUACAUAGCAAAACAGUUACUGGAAGGGGAACAUAUAGCAGACGACCAAUGACAAGGAAAAUAGAAUUGAAACAGGAGAUUCAUCGACAUCUGUUCAAGCAUAAAAGAGAAGAGCAUCGUACCGCCUUGCGAAGCUUCUUAAUCAGAGCCAUGGGCUUCCUCUUCAGCCCCCUCUGGAACCUGCAUGCGUCCAUGCCACGCCACAAGAAGGUCGUCAAAGAGAACGAGACCUAAUGGUGGCUACAAUAGUGAAAGAGAAGAAGAAUGGAGGAGACAAAAAGAUCCAAACCUUCUGCGAGCACGAGCAUCGAAAAGCUUGACGAGCUCGUCGAGGCCCAUGUCGAGGAGCUGGUCGAGAUCGACGCCACGGUAGGAGAACUUCCUAAAGGUCCUCUUCUUCGGCUGCGCCCCUCCGACAUCCACCGCGUCCGAAGCGUCCGCCUGUUCAUCCCCCACAGCACAGCAAAAAGAUCGAAUCAAAAUACAAGGACGAGAUCGACCGUCACGGAAUUGUCAGUAUCAACUAUACAAACCGAACGAGAACUAAGUAACAGGAGCGAAACCAACCAUUCUCCUCUCUCGGCUGCGAAUGGGCUCAGGGAUUGUGGUGGUCGGCGGCAGACCAAUGCGGGAGACGCCGACACAAUUAGGGUUCUUAGUUGUGAUGGCGGACGCCGUUUUCUUUAGGGAGCGGUUUCUAAAAAGAUGGGUGCUUAUUUUACUAUAUUGCCCCUCAUUCUCUUGUAUGGUUGCGUUAUGAUUUCCUUCAUAACGUAAGGGUAAAAUGGUAUUUUUAUGACCCUAAAAAAAGGCUUUUUUCUUGCUUCAAAUAUAAAUAUAAUAUUUUUAUUUAUUUUUCAUAUAUUUAAAAAAAUAUUUAGAUACAAUGUAUAAAUAGUGUAAAUAGAUAGAUUCACCAUAUGAAUGGAUCUAUAGAAAAUUAAAAAAAAAAAUAUUUUAAAUAUAAAAAAAUUAUUUAGAGGCGCUUAAAAAAAAUAAAAAAAGAAAAAAAUUUGUUUUCUAAAACUCGCCAUGUUUGUUUGCACCAAUCAUCAUUAAUAAGAAGACUAGUUUAGUUAAACAAGAUUAAAUAGAAAAAGACUUCCAUUAAGUUUUCUCAUUUGAGAUUGGCUUGUAAACAAACAUUAGAUCUCGUCAAUCUAUUCGGUGCACGCAUUCCGGGAGACGGAAAUGGGACAUCAUUUCGGGUUUACGGCCGGUUAGAUUCUGUGAUCAUGAUGUUGGAUAAUGGUUUGUGCUGAUGCCGAUGCUUCAUUUCUCAGGCGUGCGUCAGCCCUUUCUGCAUCCUUUGAGAAUGCACACAGCACGAGGAGAACACGCAUUAUGGGACGCACAGGCUAUGAUUCGUCGUCUGCAGAAAGCAGAGAUUUAUACGCCGGCAACCAAACAAUCCAUGCGUCUUGUCUUGGAAACAGCGUUAUCCCAUGCAUGCAUGCCUGCCUGCGUCGUCGUCUUUCUCUGACGGCGUUAAAGGGUUUCGGCACCUCCGUGCUUUUACGAACUCCGAUCUCCUGCAUGCGUACAGAGAGUGAUCAUGAAUGGUUGGUGAAUGCCAUGGCCCAGCUGAAACCUGCUGACGAGAGUCAACGAUGACGCACAGAAUUACCAGCUUUGAUGAUAAGACAAGUCAAUAGGCCUACAGACAUCAACAUGUAGACAUAGGUCUCAAUUAUCUAACAUAUCUUUGACUGAGACUUACAGAAUACGCAGAUUGUAGAUGGUCUCUAACUUCUCACAAGAAAGAUGCUCAGCUGCUGCCCGGUGCAGCCCACCGGAUUGAUCAUAUGAAACGACUCCGAAUUGAUCGAACCGAUCACCCUCUCAAAGCUUGCCCUCAGGUACAGAAUGUCUCCUUCACCCAUCUUGGACGCACCAGGAAGAACGCCUGUUCCGACCGAUAUGGCCCUCAUUAGCUUCAAGAUGGCGGCGUCGCCUUCGCUCAUCCGACGCCGGAUGGCGAACCCCACUUUGCGCCCGUUGCAGUAAACCGACCACACCGGCACGCCGAACAGCGACGAGCACCGAGCACGAUUCCGGUCGCAUUCGAGCGCCACGCGCAGUAGCCCAUGCCGCAUCUCCCUGGCGAGGCAGGCGGUGGGGAUGGUGAACUCCAGCAGAAGGAUGGGGGAGGUCCGGGAGCUGUCGUGCAGGCAGAACCUGACGUGACCGCGGCGGUGCCCAUAGAAGGUGCCGGUGACGGUGGUGGUUGGGGGGGUGGAACCGCCGCCGGUGGAAUGAGAGUCUGGAACAUCAGAAGUGUUGGACGACAGCUGGAAGCCACAGCAUGGAACCACGCACUCGAUGAGGCUUCGGAAAGAUCGCCGGAAGCGGACGUCCUUGGUGCAGUCGACGGCAGUUGCCGUGUCGAUGAUGUAGAGAGAGUCUCUCUGGCUCCCCAAGUCUAUCAUAGUCCUCAUCUGUAUAUUUCUAAUACAACACAGUAUCCAAGAGUGAGAGACGAGAGUAUGUCUAUGGGAAGACGAGGCAUAGAGGAGUGUUUAAAUAGGGAUGAGAGAGGCGAGUGUGGGGUAAAAGGGCGAAGGAGAUGAGGGAAGGGUGGAAUAAUUGUGUCCACGAGAGCGGGUUUAAUGGAGGAUCAUUCGACGUGCCUUUCGUUGGGCAACGCGCGCAUGCUUGUUGCGUUUGAUCAAGAAGGACAUGAGAGAAAGCUUAGUCGAAUUGAUGUGGCGACGAAGUCAUGAUUAGUCGUCUUAUGCAGGCUUCUUAUGAGCAACUUCGACAAGAAGAGAACAUGGAGAUAGGAUGACAGGAGCACAUAAAGAAGGUCUCUCUCUCUCUCUCAUCAACUGGACCGACGUGUGUGAUGACCUCACGCUUUAUCGAAGUAGAAAGUAGGCGAAUACAAGGACAGCAACAAAGAAAGAGAUCAUAAAAGAAAGAGUAGCACUCGCAGGGAAAGCAGCCACGCAAAGAAGAUACGAGGGAUGAGAUGCAGACGUCGCCAACCAAGUCAGGAUAAGCCCCAGUGAGUCAUUACACAAUGUGUCAUCAGAUGUUGCUUGGAAAAAGGUAUCGUGGUAUCUCUCUCUGUCUGUCAACCUGUCUGCACUCCCAUCUCUGCACAGCUUCAACAAGUUAUAACGUCGCCAGCACGUCUAUGAUACAAUUCCUCUUUCCUCCCCAAGUUAUUACAAACACAUGGUGGGCUUCUCGUGUUGUCUUUUCCAUAGAUUUAAAAAGGAAAGAUACCACAAAAAGGCAGAACCAUAAUACAAUAAUCAACAAUUAUAGCCAAGGGAUUCUUCUAAGUACAGGCAAAGUUAGUACCCAGAGUUUUCUUCGUCUACUUUGGCAGCUUGAGGGAACCACCAUUCUCCCACCCAACUCCGAUCUGCGUCCUGGUACCUGCUUUCUCAAGGGCCUCGCUAGUGAAAAGGUUUUCUUGACCAAACCACUCAUCCCAAGCUUGUCUUGCCUGCCAUCAGCCACUUCUCCAUAUUAUGUUACAAGGUGCCAGUGUCAAAACCAAGGCAACACUACUUUCAGUGUCUUCAUAUCUGAAUCACCUAUACUUCAGUUGCACCAUGACUAAUCAACUGAAACUAUCUGGGGCCAAAGUCUAGAUUCUCCCAUUUGAACGGCUCAAUAGAACCAAUCUGUGGUGCGCCCCGGAAAAAUACACAGACACAGACACAAACUGCGGCGAUUGCGAGCAAUGAAUGGACGUAAGGGCGUUGAAGCAGUCCCUUGGAUCGAGCAUUUCGUCUGAGCCGUGCAGUCCCCACCAAAGCACAUUGUGCACAAGAUCUUAGUUGUGAAUUUUGAGCACCAUGCCUGUUUGAUCCUCCUACCCAUGAUCCAUCUAUGGAUAUUUCUCCGCCUUCAACUAGUAUGGUGACCUGGUCAUUCGCCCUGUCAGCAAGCUUUCUCUCCACCAGUCUGUUAUACGAAAGAUUGUUCCUCAACAUAGCAUACAUGAAGGGGGACUGAUCAUUGUCAUCCAGUAAUGAGUUCCAGCACUUCAACCCAAUCUAGAAAUUAGAGACACAAGUUAGCAAUAGUAUUCCUCUAAAGGUUCAAAAAUAAAUUAGUUAGUAUAAUGAUGACUUGAUGUGGUUUUAUUUAAGUUUUUAGAUGAAUAGUUCCAAAACCACAUCAUUUUAACAUUAUACCCAUAUUCAUUAGUUCAUUUUGUGGAAGGUACACGUUAUUGUAGUUAAAGAAUAUAAGUGCAGAGAUAUCUGGCUAAAUAACAAAAAGGUAGAAUUAGCUUUACCUCCUGUGGAUCAUUAGUGAGUGCAUCAACCAUGUCCUCUGAGUCUUGCAUAGAUGCAGCCAUAUGCAGUGGGGUGAUUCCACCAGGACCAGACAUGUUGGGGGUAAAAAGAUACACCUUUGUCACAUCUUGUCCAUGGCUUACGCAAUAAUGAAGAAGCAAAUCUACCAUUUUCCUGCACUUUCUCUUAACUGCUCUGUUCAAGAGUUCAACUUCUGAAAGCAUUUUCAGUGACUCUUGCUUUAUAGUAUCAUUCCUUAAGCUUCUUUCCACAAGAAUAUCCAGAAGCGUUUUAAUAAGAGCACACCAAUCUCGCUCAACUGAAAAUGUGAGGAGGUACUUCAACCGUGUGCUGGAAAAAUCAGCAAACAGAGGGCUGCAUGACGCUUGUGUCCUCUGAAACAGCCAACCAAGUUCAUUUAGGAAGUGCAAAGCAUCUUCCCUUGACCUGGGUCGCACACUGUUAUGAACCUCUUCCUCUGGGAUGGCAUCUGGUGUUUGAACAUCUUCCUCAAAGUCAGAUUCAAGAGCUCUCAAUUCCUGGCAGAUACUAUCAUCAGCGAUAAUAACAGGAAAGCUGUUCCCCUUGAAACCAUUUUCCACCUGGCCACAAAAUUCAAAACUAAGUUGAGAACAAGGGCUUACCAUUCACAUCUAUAUGGGAAGUGGUAAAGUCAUGCUUGUAUCUAAACUGGACUAAAGUGAAGGUGAAUCACCUCAAUAAAAAAGCGACCAUAGACAUUUGGAGAUCCUCCAAGAAAGUCAAACCUUUCCACACAGGAAUCAUCGUAUAUGGUGCCAGGAUAUGCUGAGCAAAGAACUUCUUUUGACAUGUAUUUACCCAUGUAAGUGCAGUGGAUCCUACAUGAAUACAACUAAUUUAUGAGUAACACUGAUUGGGUAGCAAAAGCAGUUGUUUGGAUAAAUUAAGUAUUGUGAUGCUCCACUCACUUGGUGCCCGGAACGGUCAAAUUGCGACCCUUUAGUGCAAGGGAAGUUUCCUGCCCACCUACCACAGCAACAGGUGAUACACACAUCAACUCUGGAGCACUCCAUGCCCUCCAAGUUUUAGACAAUCUGAUCUUACCUGUAGCAGAUAACAAUUUCAUAGUUAUAUAUUAAAAAAAAAAUCUAAUUAUGAUGAUCUGAUUUCAGUGCCUCAACAAACAUAAGUUUGAUGAGAAUCCAAAUAAUUGAAACAAAAAAAGGGAAAUGAUGGCUUCAUAAAAAUUGAUAUCAGAAACCAUACCAUCCUUAUGUGACACCAGCUGUCUAUUUGUACGAAUUAAAAAUCUCCCACUUCUCCAAAACUCAGUUUCAGAGUCUUGAACUAAAGAAGUGACACGCUGAAGAAGAUUGUCUUCAAGCUGCAAAACCGACAUAUAUUUUUAAAAUAUAAAAAUACCUAAACAAAAAAAAGUGUAUAAAUAAAUAAGCCACUCACUGCAUUCCAUGCAAUAGAUGGCAUCGAUAAAUAGAUUGAUAGGACCACACAACCAGGCCGAAUAUAGCUCUCCAUCUCUGAUGGGCUAUUUGAAAGCCAAUUCAAUACCUGCAAUAGCAGAAAAUAUGAGGAUUUAGUUGAGUAUUCAAAGAAAGAAUGUUCAAGGGAGACAAUAUGUAACAGCAUUUUGCAGUACCUGAGCACGAAGAGUCUCAGGAAAACUGCCUGGAUCCUUGCCAAAGAGCUUGAAAAUAAUCCGUCCAGUCCGAUCCUGUUCAACCAUGCGAGUGCAAAUGAGCAAAUAAGAUGGGCAAUAGCUUUAUAAAGAAGAAAAGGUGAAUUUAUAUGUUACCUGAGUAUCAGAAUUUGAACUAGAAGGGGAGUGGUCUGAGCCAGAAGAUUUGUAGCCUACUCGAUAUGGUAGAUUCUGAAUUGUCCCAUUCACAACUCGUGUUUCUGACUCCUUGAAGAGCACAAGCGGUGCAAUCCCACCGUGACUGGAGCUUAAAUCAACAGUUGCUUUGUCUUCCUGGCAUUCUGAUGCUUGUGAGUAUUUCACCAUAUCCAUUGUUGAGUGUAGAGGGAAUAGCUUCUUUGUAACAGGGGGAGAAGAUGAAGGAGACCUCUCUUCCAUAGGGUUGCUACUUUCUGAGGACAGAUAUUUAGUUGCGGAUCCCAGUUCUGGAGGACUGUCAUUAUCAGCAGGACCAAAAAGCUGGAGAGGUAAAUUUUUCCGGGCUUGCUCAACCGUCUGCUGAGGUACAUCUACCCGAGAUUGACUGAUGCAGUUAUUGCUCAGACGUCCAACAUAAGAACAGACAUUAGUUGAGUUACUGUGACUGGAGGGUUCAACAUUUUGUAGCUUGUUCUUAUCAUUGCCACUACUUUCACUGCUCCCUUGUGAAAGAGAUGUGGCGGCGUCAGGAGUAGAUGCAGCUAGAGCUGCAGAGAGAACUGCCAACAGGUUCAUUUUGGAAGGUGAAUUUUCAUCCCCAUUUGCCUUUGGUGACUGCCCAAAGGAAGCUUGUGCUGGGACUUGAGAUACAUUCAAAUCAAAACCUUCAGGUACGGAUGAUCUUGCGGAAGGGUUUGCAUUAUUUGACGCACUUAGCUUACUAAUAAGUUGAACAAGACAAUCUCUAUCAGGCAGAGGAUGGAUGCUGGUUGGUUUAACUUGAUUGUUACCUGUCAUCAUAGUACCAAAAAAUUAAGCAAGAAACUCACAGCAUAUCAGGAUUACCAAUCCUAUAAGCAACAUGGCAUACCUUGCAAGUGUGCUAGCAUCGCAAACAAGUUAACUAUAUCCAAACUCCCAUUUGUCAUAUUCUGUUGGUUUCUAGGAAGCAGUAGUCUAGAAGAAGCAUCCUCUGGUUGUGUCUUCCUUCUGCGUCGAUUAUGCCCUGCGAGCCUCCUCCUACAGCUUCUCUUCCCCUCAUCAAACUCUGAAAGCGGAUGAAAUCUGAAUCACACAAUGCCAUGGAUCAGAAGCAUGCAAAAUUUGACAAGCCAGGAGAUGGUAAAUUCAACAGCUUGGAAGACAGAUCCAGAACUCUGUGCGAACCAAAGAGUGCAGAUCACGAAAAUGUUAUAAAAGCCAAAUACAUAAAAGAGCAAACAAACUGGAAAUUUUAAUUUUUUUACAAUCAUAUGAAUCCUGUUAAAGAAAAUUAUCAGCUGUCGUAAUAACAAGCCCAGAAGAAAGAUCAGUUGAAUCACAGAGUGAUCUUUCAUCAAUCUGCAAGGGUCUUUUCUAGAUUUAUUGGAUUCCGUAGGAAGUUUAUAACAGGUGAAAAUCUAUAACAAGAAAUCAAAGAAAGAACAUCCGACCUGAACGUACAAACGUAUAGCUCAAACAAUAACUGGCAAGAACACAUGUUGGGACGGAUCUGGAUUACCUGCUGCACUGCUGACAGAAUCUCUGCAUCUGCUUACCGACAAGUGCCUUGGCAGUCUUACUGUGCAUCUCGCACACCUUGUGCCGCCUGUGAUAAUCCUUGGCGCUCGACAGAUCCGCCCGGCAAUCAUCCACUUGACACAUCGGGUAGUUGCAGCCGCUCCCUGGCGAGCCGGACCUCACCCUCUUGCUAGGCCUCGUCGUCGGCUCAUCCGCCGAGUACGCUCGGCCUCCUAGCUUCAGCGCUAGGUUCUGGUCAUCCUCUUCCAAGUUCCUGCCCAAAACCGAAUCUUUGGGUCCCCCGUCCCCUUUAUCGGCCACGGCAGCGGCCGCAGAAGCCGGCUGGGAACCCAGGGAGAGGAUCUCCGACGCAGCGGAGGAGGGCUUCGCCACGAACCUCUCGCUGUCCCAAUCCCACAUCUUGGGGUUCCAAUUACCGCUCGGGUCCGGGAGUGAAGCGCCCAUCAGCCGCUGCCUGCUGUCCUGCUGCUGGUUGUGCUGGAAGCUGGGGUUAUUCUUCCACGGGAAAUCCCGCUUCUUUAGGAGCAGCGGGGUCUCAUGAAAAGGUCCAGGGAGGGCCUGACGGUGGUGAAAAAAGAUGGGCGGGGCGACCUGCGCACCCACCUCUCCCUCCAUCUUCAGCGACCAAAUCAAACUUAAAUCCCCCCUCGAUCGCCACCAGAGAAAGAGAACCAACCUUCUGUUCAGGCGACAGCGGCACCUCCCCUGAUCCAACACUCGAUCAGAUUCCAACCUGAAGGCCUCCAAGGAAACCCCCAAAAUCCAUCAACAAAACAUCCCCCCCCAGAAAAAAAAGUUCUGGAAACAAAAGAAUUCAGAAAACAAAAGUCAAAAUCCAAUUUACCGAAUACUAGAUCUUCUCCUCCAUAAUUUCCAGAUCUCACCUCCGUCGCCAAAACCACCAGCGCAACCUCCCACAAACAAAACAAAAAGAAAAGCACUCGGGGAAGCGGAUCGGAGGGAGGAGGAGAUCUAGGGGAAGAACCGAUCGACGUAAGAAGGCAGCAAGAUCUUCGUCACUCGGCGUGGAACUCUCUUCUUCCUCCUCUCUAUCUCUUCCCACAGCGUCUCAUUUCCUUUCGCUACUCUAUUAUUCUUUUUCGGCUGGCGUCUCUUCUCUCGUCUCAUCUCGUCGCUUCUCACCUCUUUGGCUUCUAUCUUGUUCGGCACCCACCCACACGGCGUGGCAGAGUCGGUAAAUUGACACGGAGGCGAGGGCCUUUCCUUGAAGCCCUUAGAAAAGUGCGCAGUGGCGAGAAAAGAGAAGCCCACCACCGUUCCUUGCGUGUCCAUUAUUUUGGUGCGGCGCUGCGGGAGUACGUCUUUUACCCAUUUGCCUCGUCAGUACGUCUCUCUUCCCUUUGCUCCGCGCGUACGACUAUUGUACUAAUCCUAUCAUUAUCACUAUCAUUAUCAUUAUUAUUAUUAUUAUUAGUAUUAUUAAAUAUUUUAAAAAUUAUGAUAUAUAUAAUUUUUUGUCUCUAUAAAUUUUUGUUAUUUGAUGUAUUAUUCAAAUCAUCUGAAUGCGUACGCUUUAAAUUUCGUCCCGGGAAUUAUGCGGUAAGCAAACAUGCAAUUGUUUGAUGUGAAAGCAUGUGACUUCCAUAUACUUCUACGAAUGGAUGAGAUGAGUUGAACGACGUCUUCCCACAGUAAACGAUCCGUAACGUCGACCCCUUAUCACCGACUCAACGUUGAAAGAAUGGAACGUAACAUUACGCAUAUGUUUCUGUGUCACUCUCAUGAGACUUUCUUUUCCGUGUCGUAUGCCAACUUUGUUUAUAUUCCGAUGAUCUCAGCAUGCCAAUAUUUUUUUUAUUUAAAUAAUUCUUAAUUAAUUCAAAUAUAUAUCUGAUAGUGAUCCUUUAUACCUUGGCAGAAUGAGCUGGCACGGCUUGAUUCAGUCUCGGGUACGUAGGAUCAUCCACGUCGAUCUUCGGUCGACGAGGAUCAUAGUCUAGCGAGGUCGGGCUUGGCCUAUGGCUUUAAAGUCGAAAACUCCCUUGGGUUGAUUAUCUGUUUCUUGAUCUCCGGUCCCUGCACAUAUAGGUCAGGGUUGGAAAGAGGCUCCUGACUUUGACUCCUCCGAAGAUCUUGUUAAAACUGAGUGGCAAAUCCCCCUUCUGGUCGACCCCACGAGGGGUUUUUGUAUUCUCUCUCUCGGGGAUAAGUCGUACCUAUCAUAUUUAUUAUCAUCGACGUUGUACUUGGUCGGUGUCAUCUCGGCCCACGUAGGAUGGCGUUGUACUCGGUCGGCGCCAUCCCGACCCUCGCGGGACGGUGCGGUACUCGUUUGGCACCGUCUCGACCUUUGCGGGAUGGUACUGUACUUGGUUAGCUGCCCGACCUUUACGAAAUUAGCGUUGAUCGAAUGUACAAUCCGUCGUGUUAUCCUUGAUACUGAUGUGACUGACAAUAAUGAUCGGAGGAUAGGUUCUAAGAUAUGCCCUAUCAAUAUCAUAUGAUAAUAUCUGAAAUAAUUUAAUCUAGUUUCUCUUUUAUGUUUCUAUUUUAGCUUAUAAGAAAAUGAUUAUAUUAUAUUAAAAAUAAUUAAAGAAUUGAUCAAUGAGAUGAGAUAUUUUCUUAAUAGUUAUGGUCAUAUUCCACAUGACCAAUGGUCUGAGGAAGGUAGAGAAGAGGAACCUUCCUCUGCUCUAUCAAGUCAGUGUUGCCUUCACCCACAUCUCACAUGGGAGAGUCUUCCUACCAUCCACGACUUUCUUCGCAGUUUUAGGACACGAUUCAUGUCACGUAGACUCCAAGUCGGUAAGGGAUGAGAGAGGGAUGAGAGAGUGAUACCACGGACGCCCCCCAACCAUCGUGUCGUGUCUUCUGAAAGAGAUCGGGUACUCCGGAGCCGGCAUUUUCGUAAUUUUACGAUGGACGUAUAAAUAAAUGCGGUACUUCACCGCAAUUAUUGCGAGGGGGUUGGCUCGGGGAACGGCGACGUACGGCACUGCCGGCCCGCACCGAAAACAAAACGGACGAUCGGAUCACAGCCGUCCUUUUCGAUCGCGUCGUACCGUCGCCCGUGCCCGGUCGCGGUCAACGUCGAAUCACAUGCCCAUCCCCUUGAAAUAGAUAGUAAUAACGUCACCAUCACGCGCCGUACCCAUCCGCUCCACACUGCCUCACCGUUUGGUGGGCCCCGCGAAGACCCGUCACGAGCGGAGGCAAACCGGGGGCGGCUGGUCACGCCUCGGGUGCUCCCUCCCGUGGUCGGUCGGGGUGGUACGAUAAGGGCGUGGGCGAAAUGACGGGGGAGACCCCUUCCGCCCCUCCUCAGCCACCACGGGUGAAAAGUGGGCCCCGAUGCCGACCCGGUUUAUUUACCUCUUCUCUCUCCCCCCCCCCCCCACAUUUAUUGUGUUGCCUCGUCACGCUUUUCAUUAACGCCGGUUCGUACCACAAAAGAUAAUUAUUGCACGGACAUGUUUCCCCACGAUGGGUGUGUGUGUGUGGAAAUCUCAGCUACAUCCACGUGGGAGGUAAACCGUGAGGUGGGUACGUGACAAUGGAUGACACGAAAGCCACGAUGCAUCGCGAGAUGAAUUAUGUCCACCCUAAGUGGGCGGGGUUGUACGUGGUGGGGCCCGCGGUCAUCGGUCAUCACUGGGGAAUCUUCAAAUCUGGCUGGCCAAAUUAGGUUUGGGUACAAUUAUUUUUACCUGAUGGGUGUACUAAUUGCAGGUACGUACACAAGUUGCGUAUGCCAAGCUGGAAAGAGAUGGACGGAAUCCGACGCGUGCAGUCCAUUCAUAAUUUAAUUGAAUUUUAUUUUUGUUUUUUAUUUUAAAUAAAUAUCAAUUCGAGAUUGAUAUUUUGUUGUGUUUAGACGGAGAAAUGUUAAUGUGAUGUACACCAUUAGUAAGGGUAAGUGACGAAGUAAGAGCAGUGAACAGCUGAAGUACGUAGAGGAGCCAUGGUUGCAAUGAUUUGGAUAGUGGCCAACAUGGGUGCGGUCAAAGCAAUGGUUCCAUAAGUUGGGUGUUGGGGACGAGCUUUUAGAUGUAAGGAGUCACAUCACAGACACAACAUUACUUCUACUCUCGCCGGUGGAAUCUACCCACCGAUGAAUGGAGUGCGCUUAGUCAACGCCACCAUCACAUGAUGCAUGAUUUCCUCUGCCAAUCCCUAAUUUGUGCGUCUGCAAAUGCGAAAUUCAAAAUUCUAAGAAAAACACGCAAUGCUCACAAGUUAUCAUUCGUAUAUACACUAGCAUGAGAUCAUAUUUACUUAUAAAAUAUGAUCUAGAGUGAAUAAUCACUCAAUAAAUAUAAAUCUCUGUAGUUUUAUUUAGGUGAACAUAUAUAAUAUUUUAAAAUCAUCAACAAAAAUAUAUUACGGUAAACAUCUUAUCCUAUGACUUCUUUGGCAAGUGUAACCAUACAACAUAGUAUAUGUAAAAUUCUAUGUCAAAAUAAUUCAAAAGAUAUAUUUGCAUAUAUAGAAAACGUAGCAAAUCUAUGGAUUUCUAUUCCUCGUAUCAUAACAAAUAUAUGCACUCCUAUGUCGUACAUCAUCGUAAUAUAUACGUGUAUUCCAACAUCGCAUAUCAUAAUAUAUACGUACACUCUCAUAUUACACGUGAUAGCAUAUACGUGCGUUGCACGUCGUAACAUAUAUGUGUGCUCUCACACUAUAUGUCAUAGAAAAUAUAUAUAUUCAUACAUCACACGUCAUCAUAUAUAUAUAUAUAUAAGAUAUUUUUAUUAUAAUUCAUAUAUUUUUAUAUUUAUAAAAAAUAAUUAUAUUUAAUUAAUACCUAUUUUACACCGAUAGGAGUUGAAAAUGGUGCCAAGGGCACCCAAUGAACAUGCCUGGGUUGAAAUGAAUGGUCAGCAAUACUCAUCAAGCCACAAUGGUGCUUUUGUCCUCGCAAAGAUGAAGGAAACAACCGAUGCUUAUCCCUGCCUACUUUAAUAAUGCGCACCGCCAGGCAACAAAGGAUGCAGGCAGAAUUGCUGGGCUUGAAGUCCGAGGAUUACCAAUGAGCCCACUGCUCUGCUGCUGCCCUUUCAUAUGGAACGAACAACACGGGUGGUGGUACUUUUGAUGUCUCCGUCCUGGAAAUCUCUAAUGGAGUGUUCGAGGUUUGUUCUUGAAAUGCUCCUCUUACUCAUAUUCCUCGUCUUUUUCAUCAUCAUAAUGUGAUCUUUCAGGUCAAGUCCACCAAUGGCGACACAUUCCUUGGUGGCGAAGACAAACUGGCUCUGCAAAGGCUAUGGGAAGCAGCCGAGAAAGCGAAAGUGGAACCUUCAUCAACCAUGCAAACAGAGAUAAAACCUUCCUUUUAUCACUGCUGAUGCUUCGGGAGAGCAAAGCACUUCAAUACUACAGUGAGUCUCUCGUUAAUCAUCUUAUUGAGAGAACCCGCAUCCCAUGCAGCAAUUGCCUGAAAGAUGCAAAGAAGUUGAUGAAGUGCUUUUGGUUGGUGGAAGGAAUGACGAGGGUACCGAAGGUCCAAGAGGGUGUGAAUCCAGAUGAGGAUGUUGCAUCCAAGGUUGGCAUCCUGAGAGAUGAUGUGAAGGAGCUUCUCUUGCUUGAUUGACGAUGAGGAAGGUCUUCUCGUCUUCCAAGUUACGUAAGAAUUUUUAUACUUAUAAAAGUAAAAUAUUUAAUUUUAUUUCUUCUCAUAACAUCAAUAGUAUCGAUGAAAAUAUCGUACGUAUUAAGUGGUAAAUCGAACAAAGUCAAUACGUACUCAGUAGUAAAUCCUAUGAUAUCUUCGUAUAUUUUUGUUAGUAAAAUCGACGACGUAAGAAAAAAUAAAAUUAAAUAUUUUACUUUCAUAAGUAUAAAAAUCUCAAGAUAAUUUUUAAAAAUAUAUAAAUUAAAAUAUUAAAAAUAACUAAUUAGAAAGAUAAUAUAUAAUUAAUCCUAAUCUUUUGAUUAAAUACUUCAAUAAAUAUAAUAUUUUUCUCUUUGAUUUGAAUUGAAAUUAUUCGAUAGUUUGAGAGAUUUUUGUUGAGACAUUAGUUUCGAUUCUUCUUAUUUGAUAUAAUAAAAUUUUUAAAAAUAUUUUAAUUUUUUUAUAAAAAAAUCAUCUUUAUUCCUUAGAACUUCAUAAAAUUUGUAUAUUUAUUUAUGAUUUUUGACAUGCCUAUUUUAUGUAGCGUGAGUGUUUAUGGUUUGUUAAUUGGUUAACGUUUUUUCGUUCUAUGAUUUCGAUCAUUCGAAUUGGGAGGAAAGAGAAAACGGGAGGAUCCCGACAUAUUUGAUCGAGGCCGAUAGGCGACUGAUUGAUCCAGUGACCGUUCCGUCCACCGAUGAAGGCUUCCAUCAAGCUCCGGGAGGAUCGGCCGCCCUUGGUGCGCGCCAAGGUCCCCGUCGGCGUCCUCGGCCUACCCUUCAUCUCCGGCGUCACCGCCGCCGCCCGCGAGCUCCGCCUUGACCUCGCCACUGGCUUCCGCGCCGGCCCCUCCCUCCGCCUCUCCUACCGCCCUAACGACGCCCUCAACCCCUUCUCCCUUGUCAUCAAGACCGGCGUCGGCGACCUCGGCUCCCCAUCCUCCGGUUCCCCACUCUCCAUGGCCGUCGAGUUGGGCCUCCUCGGUGGUUCCUGCCCCACCUUCUCCCUCCUCCUCAAGCCCCGGCUCGGAGAUUUCUCUUUCCGGAAGUCCGUCUCCGCUGUCGUAUCGGGCACCCCCCAUGCCGUGGCUGUCAAGGUCGCGCAAGUUAGCGACGGUCACGGGAUCGGGCCGCCGAUCGUGGAGUUCCGCCCGGAUAACGCGAUCCACCUAGGGAGAAGGUUCGGUAACUUCCCCGUCGACGUCUCCGCCUUCACCGCGGGCAGCGGAGGGGGGAUCGAUGGGCUCCUCUCCGGGUUCGAGGUCAGCGCCAGGAGCGUCCUACCGCUUCGCAACCGCACGGCCGUCGAGUUCAAGUGGGGGCUGAGAGUUCCGCCGGAGCUCCGCACGGCAUUUGAUGAUCCAGCGGCCGGGAUCUGUCUGACCGAGCUGCCGUGCCUCGUGAUGAGUAAAAUCUCCAUCGAACGGUUGCCAUACGACAGAAAGGCGAAGGAGAAGAGGCCUGCUGGAAGCGCUGACGCGACAGAUUCGUGUGCGUCAGUGAGGCGCGAGGUGGAAGCGCUGCAGGCUCAGAGCGCCCUGCUUAGUAGCUCCGUUGAGGGGCUCCGGGCAGACAUCGGCGGCUGGAAGCUUGCUCCGGUAUUUUCACCGGUGGCGUGGAAGAGGGAACAAAGGAGUAACGGGAAGUUGUUUGAGGGCAGGACUGAAUAGCCAAUGCAGCCUCAUCUCCAUGAACAUGGCAAACUGAGGAAGGCGCUGAAGGUUUGCUUCUUAUCUUUGUAAGUUGGUGAUGAAGCUGCAGAAAACAAAUGUCUGAUAGCUAAUAUGAUCUGAUUGCUUUGACAUACUCGUGGUAGAAGCUUCUGUCAUGGAAUGUUUCUGAGAACAAGAUCCAAGAACAUGGCAAUCUAAGGAUGGCGCUGAAGGUUUGCUACUUAUAUUUAUAUUUUGGUGAUGAAGCUACAAAAUAUAUCUGAUAGAUAAUAUGGUAUGAUUGCUUUGGCAUAAUUGUGGUGGAAACUUGGAAUGCUUUAGCAUUUUGAUCCAUGUUUAUUUUCAAUGAAUCUUGUUAUGGUUGCAAAUAGCUGCAUCACUUUGGUAUAUUUGGGAUGCAUCAAAAAUGAGAAUUUGCUUGAUGCAGGCAACCUAUUCAUUCAAAUAUCUGUCUUGUAAUGUUAGGAUGUUGAAUGCUGCUUAUACAUGUCUAUGAUUCUUCUACUUGCAUAUGAUGCUAUGCGUAAUGACAGUCUUUGAAGUGAACAUAAGACGCCCUAAAGAUUCCCGAUGGGGAGAGGAGGGGCCCCUUUCGGGUCCCAUUGUCUCGUCACCCACCUGCUACAGCUGCCAUUCGCUAAGGUGGCGCGCGUGCCGCACGCGAGGAGGGCGUCCGCAUCUCUGCCACGUGUUCCGCUGGCCACCGGCCCAAAAAGAACACCACCUUCGCGUAUGAUACGGAGAGCUGACGUGAUGAACCGAAAUAGAGAACCUGUUGGGGAAGGUGGUUCGUCGUGAGCGAUCUGGCCUUGGGGAGCCCUUCGUAUGGCGGAGUUGUGUUAGAGUUGGGUCAUUCUUACUAUUGAGUCGCCUCUUGAUUGUGUCUCCAAAUAGUGUUAGGAAUCGUACACAACAAAUCUAUGUCGGAAUAUUAUGUCUUAACCCCUCCGAUACUUAAGUCAGAGAUACAGAAAAAGAGGUUAACAAUGUAAGUGAGAAAGUGAAGAGUUCUUGCUCGUUUGUCCAACAUGGUUUGGGACUUGACUUUUAUACUUGGGUAUUAAGCGGUCUGAACGUGCACUCGCCAAGGCUCCCUUACCCUGUAUGGUGAAGGCAUUAAUGAGAGCAGCUUGCUGGCAUGUGUCCUCUGGUGCUUGGGGUGGUUUGUUGGGGGACACUUCUAGGCUGACUUUCUUGUUGUUUUGGGUUAAGCAGGGAGUGAUUCCAUCAUCGACUAUUGGCAAUAUAAGGCUAGUAAAUUCGGACCAUAUUGUUAGUCAUUAAUGUGGAGGCAUGACUUCUACUGAUGUAUCAGUCAGGAGUGGCUCGUGUGGGUCCAUUCUUGGAAGGUGGGGUAGGUGACAUGACCUCUUGCUGGUGGCUAUAGGGAGUAGGUAGUUCUCGAGCUUUUUGCUUAGGUAUUGCUUAUGUGGCGAGGGGAGCUGAGGAGUGUCAAGAUUAUUCCUAUUAUUCGUCCCCCUAGAAAGGCAUUCUUCGGAGCUUUGAAUUAAGGUCUUGAAGGACGUAACUUUUUCUACAUUCUUGCAUAGUGAAGUGAUCAUUGGUUAGCUUCAGGUUCAUUGUUGGCACCGUGGUGAUUAGUACAAGGCUCAUUUAUGGUGGGUUAUGCUUUGCUAGGCUGUUCUUUGCUUAGACGGGUGUUGACUUAAGGGACAUCUCUCUCUUUUCCUCCUUUUCUUUUCCUCUUUCUCCAUCUUCGUUCUCCCCCUUAUACUUCGGGAGGUUUUCUUCUUCGUUUCUAACUCCCACUUUCGCACGGGAGGUUGAGUCUCCAUCACGUGAAUGGGAGGUUCAGUAUUAGUCUGUCGUAGUAGCUUCCAUGGCCUUAAUUCAACUACUGUGGGUAGGAGUAUUAGUAUUAAUCCAUCGUAGCAAUAUUGAUUCAACUGCCACAGUGAGAGUAUCGGUAUCAGUCCAUCAUAGCGGAUCUUGAUUCGAACAUCGUAGAGUUAUGUAUAUACUAUGUUGUAGAGUUAUGCUUGUUAAAUAAAUCAUAGGUUGAGAUAUUUACCAUUAAAUGUCUUAUAUCAAUAAUUUUAUAAUAUUAUAUACAUAAUAUAAUACAUGCUCACUUAUAUAAAGAUAUAAAGAUGUAUAAUUAUCGAGUAAUUACUUAAUAUAUAUCAUAUUUUAUUUAUAGGUAAAGAUAUUAGUAGUCCAACUAAGUGAUGGUAUAAACUCAUGUUAGUGUAGAUAUAGAUUAUGAUAUAGUAUAAAUUUAAAAUAUAUUAUGUUAAUAUAUAUAUUUUUUAGUUAGAGAUUAUAAUUAUGUCCGGAUAUCAAAACCUCUAUAUAAAUCUUAUCAUUAUAUUUAAUAAAUUAACACACAUGAUCGUAGGAGGGUCAAGAGCUCGGCCCGACGGAUAAGACGGGGCGAAGCUGCUCUAGGGCACGAUCACCAAGGAGCUCCGACGGCGCGGUAGGCGAACGACUGUGGCAGUACGGCACAGGCAAUGUCGUUGGCCUUGAACAACUCUCGGGCAUGGUCGACGGUAGAUACCACGACGCAGGGGGUGGAGCCCAGGUAGAGGAGCAGCAGGGGUCGACCGCUGGUUGAGCUUGGAGUGCUUGGUUGGUGGUUGGGCCGAGGGGGUGGAGGUGGCCAUUGAUGGCCUUGGAGAUGAUGUCGUGGAAGAUUUUGGAGGCAACGAAGACAGUAACGAGGAGGAGGAGAAUGAAGGCAUGGGAGCUGAAGACUUGCUCCAUUCUCGCAUGAAGCUGGACGCAAGCUUAAUUGGAACCGCAGUUGUUACUUCUUGAAGAGACAGCAAUGAACUGCAGGACAAGGAAAAAUCAUCAUCUUGCUUCAAGGCUUCGAGCAAUUUACCGAUUUGGCAUCGGUAAAAGAGUGAAGCCGAGAGGUCACAAGCGAUGCAACCAUUGGCCGCUGCACAGCUACAUCACGGCACUUCUGCAAAAGGUAGUCGACAUUUAAUAGGGGAAGAUGAAGGUAAAGGUUAAUUUGCAGAAACGCAAACCUCAAUCGUGUGCACGAUCUCACGGAUUGAAUUGAUUUGGCUCCUUUUUACCCCAUACAAUAUCUUCCAAAAACACCAAAACGAAGACACUAAGAAGAGCUUUGGAUGGUAAUGAUCCAAGCCGAACAAAUUAAAUCAAAUGACCUUUGACCCCAUAUGCGAGAUUGAUUCCACGAUGGCCGGCGUCCGGAUCGGACGCCACGCCAAGAACGAGAUAAGUUUGUCGUAGUUGUAGCGGGAAGCAUGAUCGAAGAGCGUUCCUCACGAGGAGAUCAACAAAGAGAUGAACCAGCAGCAGUGUCCCAGACCAUGUGGAUCUCCAUGGGCAGCAGAGUUGCUGGCUUUACCCAUCGCAUCGUGGUGAAACGAAAUGUUUCACUCACCGCAUCGACAGGAGAGUGCGUGUGGGCUUCUUCAUCUUCGCAUGCGGUUCCGGCGACCUCUUCAGGUUCCUCAGCACGAGCCUUUCCAUCUCUGCAAUGGUGCUUUGCAGCCUCUCCUCGAAUUCAGUAGGUCUCAUGUCUUCUGUCGAUGGAUCGGUUGAGACGGAAACCAGGCCGGAGGAAGGGCUUUGGAGCGAAUGUCCGAUUGGAGAAACAUACCAGGCAUCAGAAACAUCGGAUGAGAGGGCUUCACCGAGUGAUGUCUGAUCCGGCUCUUUCAUUUCACGGUUUCUGUUCCUCCGCUUGACCCUCGCUGCAGUCGCACGCAUCCUUCUCCUCUCCAAGGCCUAAGUACAGAACAAAGUUUAGGGCAUGUAUAACAUGGCAUUCAAGUGUUUAGGGCAAGAUCUCCUUACAUUGACGACCACCGUAACGUCACGGAGAGGUGUCCUAGGGUACCAACUCGGUAGAGGACUCUUCCUUCUCCCGACACGGCGUCGAGCUGUCACCACCAGUGACGGGGGGAUGUUCUCCUUGUCGUCGGUGGUGAACACCAAGCUCUGCUCACGCCUUGAUCUUGAUCGCACCACCGCGUCUGGGAAAGCUACCGUCCGGAUCCAGAACCCUUCCCCCGCGUCCACCAUGGUUCCCAAGCCCUGAUUCAUCCUCGUCUCUCCUCUUUUUUGUCGUCGCCUUCGACUUCGGAGAGAGCGUGAGGGAGACGGGAGAGGGAAUCGGCGGCCGGGGAGCGAGAUUGAAAGAGAGAGGGGGGAUCGACUUAAGUAGCGUUUUAGGGGACGGGGGCAGUGGUGACGGGACUCGGAACCGCCGGUCACCGCCGCUUCCAGUGCCGCCUAGUUUUGAAUUUUCAAAAUAGGAGGAGAGCGAGCGGUGACGACAUUUCGAAGGGGCGUUUGGCGGAUGUGCCGCAGGUUCAACUUAAUCAAGUUGUGCACCCCUACAUGCAUGAAGCUUUGGAUAUUUCAGCUUUUGUUAUUUAUCAGAAAAUCUAAAUUUCUUGGCCUGUGUUUAUUAAUCCCUCAAAUUAAUAUUCUAAAAACAUUUUGCUGAUGCUAUUAUUUGUUCACCAACAAUAUCAUCUUUAAGAAAUAUUUAUAUAUUUUUAUAUAAAAAUAUAAAAUUUUAUAUUAUCUUUUUUCUUCAAUAUCUUAUUUUGAGGUAUAAAGUUAAUUUGGAUUUGAUAUAUUUGGGGGUGGUAUACCAUACCUACUUACUAAAUAUUGAAGAUUCAAAAUCUAUUUCUGAGUCAAAAAUGAUGAAGUACUAGAUUCACUUAAAAAGAAUUUGAGGUUUAAAAUCUCAUCCGAUUUUUUUAAUAAAAAUAUCAUUCAAUUUUUUUUAUAUUUAUAAAAAAUUAUUCAAAAUAAUAUAUUUUAUAUAAUUAAAUGAAGUCAAAGUACAAUGGGAAUAAUAUAUUUUUAUUUAAUUAAAUGAAGUCAAAGUACAAUCUAAGAUUAACUCUGAAUCAUUAACAUCUCAAACAAUCAAAUUAUAUUUAAAAAUUAAAAAUAAUUAAUAUUUUAUUAUUAUUUUGGAAUAACUACUAAUAUAAAAUAUAUAUCAAAAUGAAUCAACACAAAGCAUUGGAACCUGUCAUUUAUGUAAUAAUAUACUAAUUAAUAUAAUAUAUUAGAUGAAAUCCUAUUCACAAUGGAACGGUCUCUAAUUAGGGCUGUUAAGUAUAUAUUAGGCUUCCUCAAUUGUCUCCCAUGCGACCUAUCCAAUCUCCACUGACGAAGCCCGUCACGCCGGCCGCAGAGCAAGGUCCUUCGCCGCCGUGACGAGGUCGGCCGCAUCGCGAUAGGGCUGCGAGGGGCGCCACGAGGUCAUAAUUUCAUUGUUGCUGUUGUGGUUGUUGUUUUGGCACCAUAUUGCUUUGUCGAUCAGUUGCUUGAUGAUCAUUGAACGUGUCUUUUUUUGUAUGUUAUUGAUAGUGAAACAUUCUAUCAUUCAAUUCGAUCCCGUUGAAGUGUUGAUGUCACUUUUGAGUGAUCGUUUGUAAUCAUUUGUGUGCGAGCAUUCGCGGAUAUGAUUCAAACCGCGGUGUCUGUUGGAAAAACAGAUGAAAAUGAGAGAUAGUUCAAAGAUGUAAUUUGAAUGUCAGGAGAUCCCAACCCCCAAUUGAGGUGCAGAAUUUGGGCUGCAGAUGAACUUAUUGCUGAUUUUUCAUAUGAUAUAUUAGGAUGACAUUAUGGGGCAAUCGUACGGUUGCAUGCAUAUAAAUAAUGGAAAGGCUGUCUAAUAGGCAGUACAGAAGCCACGAAUCUAGUCAAGAGAUGACAGUGUUCAACGAAAAAAUCUGAUUCAAGUGGAAUGCUAGUAAUUGAAUUUUCACAUGGUCAAUUGAUAUAUCAAUUUGUUCAAGCAAAUGGCAAGAGGAAGUUAGAUGGCGUACAAUAUUAGAAGCGUCCCCUAAGUUGUACCAAUCUGUAACUUGUGUCUCCUAAGUUGUAGGUAAAAGGGUUAGUUUAGGCUUCAGUCUUGUGGCUUAUGACACUAUAUUGGAAGAGAAUCCUUGAGAAAUUUCCUCUUUUUGUUAUUUUUGUGGAGCUGAACAUUAAUGCCAAUCAUGAUGAGAGGAUGGAUGCACAUAAACCUAAUAGGGGGAGUUUCAUCUGGUUGCUCAUUGUUUGUUCUACUAGUGGUCUUGAAGUUGAGCAUGGUAAAUUUGCUCUCACGCAUAAUAUGGCUAGGUUCUGGAUCCCAGUGUUGGGUUGCUUUAGGAUCUUAAAUUGACUCUUCUUUGGCAUGCUGAAGAAGUCCUUAACUAAAAUACUUCUUGCCUGAAUUGCAGAGAUCUGCAUCAUGUAUUGCAGGUUUGAGCUGUAUCUGAACACAGAUAGCUAAUCUCUUUGGGCCUAGUAUCUGAUCCAGCUUGAACUUUGCAUUCUGAACUUCCUAAUGCUUGUAUGAUAUCUUUAUUAGUAGCUUCUAAGAAAAGGUCAAUGGUAUAUUUUACAACUUACCGGAGCCUAAUUGUGAAACCAUUUUUGUUUUUGUGCACUAUAACAAAGUUCCUUGCAUUUCUAAGGUGGAUAUAUUUUAUUUAAUCACCAGUUUUUUUGAUCCAUUGCUAGGGUUUUGUGAUGAAUCUUAUCCUGUAGUUCACUUGGUGCCACUCUAACCCUUCCAUAUGUUAUUGUUCAAUUUCCUAAUUUUCGUAACCAUGUCCUGAUUUGCACUUAGAAAGAUGCAUCAGAAUGAAUUAAUUAAUUUAUGGUGUAUUUACAGAACAAAUAAUGUAAUCUUUUUAACUUCUCAUGUCUCUUUACUAAAUCCAUUGGACAGGAAUUCUCCUUACGAAUUUAGAGGUGGACACUAUAUAUAUUUUUUGAACAUUUCAGCAUGCUGCUUAUUUACCAUUCGUGGUGUAUGUAGGGUGUGCAAAUCUUUCCCUGCAAUUUUGAAAAAGAUAUACAUGCCAAUUAUAUCUGAUUCCAUCUCAGAAUCAAAGUUUAUGCAGACUGCCGAUUGUCCUUCAAAUCCGUGACUCAGCAAAGUUGCUGGAUCUUAUGCUUUCCUUUGGAUGCCAAUGGAGAUGGUACUGCUUUACAAAUUCAGUUAGUGAGCACCUGAAAUAGUUGAUGCUGGCAUGGAUGCCACGAGUGAUUGGGUUGACAAUGAGCACCGGGAGAGGCUCUUCAAUGCGUGGUAAAAACUUCCACUGGGAAUCAUGGAGCUCUUCAGAUAAUGUGCAUGUAGGUUUUGGUUUGAUAUAUAUUUUGCUUUAUGAAAUCUAUCAAGUAAAGGCUGCUCACCAUUUACAUUUGGCAUUCUGUUUGAGUGUUCUGGUCCCAGGCCAGCACCCAUGAAUUAUAGUUAUGGAAGAGAAGUACUACCACUUACCCACAAAAAAUAUUGCUAGCACUGCUUUCUGCUUGCCAGUUUUCUUCCACCUCGGAGAACAUUCUUCAGCUAGCAUUUUGAAUUGUGAUUUUAUCAGUAAAGAUGAACUUCGAUUUGUUAUACUUUCUCUUUUUCCCACUUAAUAAUCUAACACCAUUCCAAGUUCCUAAUUUUGAUCCUGAUGCCAAUUAAUCAAGGUUUGUAUCUUACUUUUGAAAGUUAAUGCCAGAAACCAUAGCAUCAAUAUCUGUUUGUCAUGCAUCAUCUCCCUUUUUCCCGAAAAGGACAUCUAGGUGAUUGAGAUUCUUUGUCAUAUUAUUUAUGUGACUCUUACAUGUUUGAUAAUUGUAGGGGUGUUGAUGCAUCGGAGAAGUUGACCUGGGCGUGUAUUCAGCCUGAAAUUUUCAGGUACCAUCUUCAUUUUCGGAUCCAAUUAUUUUAUCAGAUCUUAUUUUUUACCUGAUAAUGUGCCGAACCAACGUAUGGUGUGUGGAUCCUCAAUUUGGAUCUGUGAUCUGCAAACCUAUCAGAUUCAACUAAAAGAGCUAGGACUUAGGUGGAUCCGACCUGGUAAUGCCUCUCUGCAUUAUAUACAAUCAAUCAUGCUUUGCUAUUGUUUAUGUUGGUGUGAGGCCUGCGAAUCGGGGAAAUCACUGUGUAAAUUGACUUCAGAUACGAAAUCACAGGUUCAGUAGCUCAGGUUGACAGGUUCAUGUCACAAAUCAGCCAACAUUUGUGGCUUCCCUUGGUCCAAUGGCAAGCACCUACCCAUAAAAAUCCACUGCUAAGUUUAAUGUAUUGCAUCUGGGUGAGAGGUGGUGGUCAUUCUCCAGUUUCUGCUGCUUCGGAUUUAAUCCAGUGGGGCGAAUCCAUUAUUGUUUAAGGUGCAAUGCAUCUGUGAGGAGGACAUUUGAUUCUGCUGGCCGCUAUGCUCUCUCUUGUUGGAUCAACCUGUACAGGUCUUUGGCUGUAAACUUUUAAGAGGUGUUUUUGUUGCUCAAUACUCAUCAAUCGUCUUUUACUUGUUGCAGACAUUGAUGGAUGUGGCCCAAGUGCUCAUUUUGGCUUCCAACAUCAGGUAUCAGCUGGCAACUCAUAAUUCUAUUGCUCUACAUGUUACAUACUAGCAUUAAACAUAGUUUUUUGGAGUAUCAUCAAUCAUAUUUCUGCUGGGUUUUCCCAGUUUGGUAAGCAAGGAUCAAGGUGCAUCGUACAUGGGCGCUGCUUUGGAUCCCAGUAAUGUCGUCAAGAACAAUUCAUCUACCGAGGGAACGGUAAAUGGAUCAUUUACUGUCUCACAUGGGUUAUGCUCGUGGGGUGGUCCUCCAUGGGACCACCGAGCACUAAAUCCAAUGGGGAUCUGAGCUGCGGUAACUCUCUUUCUCUCUCUAGAUUUUGCAAUCUGCCACAGUACUACUGAAUCAGGGUGCCCACCAUCUCGACCGCAUCAAUUUCUACCUGGCCUCCAAAUCUAGAUCUAUGAUAGUACCAGUGAACCUGCAGAACGCAAUCCAUUUCCUUUCCUUGUGCCCUUUGAUCUCAGCUUGAUGAUUACCUUUGUGGAUGUGAAAUCAAAGCUCUCUCCAUCCAUCCAUCUUUCUGCGUCCAUAUUCCAUCGCUUUUUGUUCUCAUGUUGCUUUCUCGGCGCUUCCUACUUCCUCGUCUUCUUCCCAUCACCUUCUGCUGGAUUGAAAUCUUAUCCUCUCCCAUCAUCGCCCUAUUGUCUACAGCUGCGGAUGUUUUAGACCACCGGAUCCUUCCAAUACAUAAAGCUGACUUGACAUGAUUUCUGUUUCCAUUACAGCUCACAUGCAUAUGGUAACAAAAUUCAUUCAUAUUCUUGGAAAUGUCAUGAUCUAAAUUAAUUACAAGAAGUCAACUUUUCGUGGGAAGAAUGAUACAGCUAUUUGUUUCUUGCUAUUUUGUUGUUUAUCUAUUCUUUUACUUGGUGGGAAGUUGAUGGCCAUAACAAUCAAAACCACAAGACAGAGAAAGGAUCCCACAACCACCUCUGCUUGGCCCCCCCGCCUGCCGCCAUUUCUUUUUAAGGGUUGGUUGGGAGCAUUGAAUUAGGCAAAGCCAAGACAUGACAUGACGCGAGUACAUCAUCCAAACUGGGUGUGAUUUGACUCCGAUUCAAGACUAGCUUAGCUAAUUGUAGCAGGAAAACAUCGAUGCCCCACCCAUUUCAGCUGUCUGAGAUAUGCUCCUCUGAUCUUAGUGCCCUUUCAUGGCGUCAGCCGAGCAAAUAUAUAUGCUUUCAUUGUGUGUGGACAAGAGAUUAAAACAAGCAUAAACAUUUAGGAAACAAUGUUAAGUAUAUAGCUUAUUAGUCUGUGAUCACAUAGCUAUACAUUUCUUUCUUCUUUACAUCCUUAUCUGCUUCUUUCUGGCUCUGAGAUCUCCUCUUCCACUUGUGUCAGUAGGGCUUCUGCCUGCCAGCUGAACAGCUGCAGCUCGCCCGGCUUUCCGAUAGUGCCUUCAAAUAUAAAGUCCGUACAUGAAUAAACCAAGCAGCUCUAAUGUGAAUCUGCACACAAUCAAAAUAGUUCGGCGGUAGAAUUUAUACCUUCACCUGUUUCUGGAGAUCCUUGAUAUAAUCCACCGCCAAAUCUAGCAUGUCUGCUGUGUUGGUUUGCUGUCGAUUGUCCACAGCAAGUUAGACACUCGUUGUGACUACCUAUAAAUCUUAGUUUGUGUUAAUGUUG